rnacentral:rRNA from 1 species
UACGGAGGGAGCUAGCGUUGUUCGGAAUUACUGGGCGUAAAGCGCGCGUAGGCGGCUUUGUAAGUUAGAGGUGAAAGCCCGGGGCUCAACCCCGGAAUUGCCUUUAAGACUGCAUCGCUUGAAUCCGGGAGAGGUGAGUGGAAUUCCGAGUGUAGAGGUGAAAUUCGUAGAUAUCGGAAGAACACCAGUGGCGAAGGCGGCUCACUGGACCGGCAUGACGCUGAGGUGCGAAAGCGUGGGGAGCAAACAGGAUUGAGA